UCUCUCUACCCGGUCGCCGGAAAUCGCCGCCGCCGCAGGCCGCCGCCGUCGCCGGAAUCCGGAUUUCAACCAAAAUUUCCAGAUUUUCUCCUCUUCUUUCCCUCUUUCCAUUUCUCCAACCAAAAUCAUGAAAUUUAGCCAUUUAAUCCCCCAAAAACCCUAGAACCCGAAGCUAAAAUUGGGGCUUUUGUGAUUUCUUCUUUCCAAGCUCAAAUCAAGGCUAUGGGUUUGGCAAGGAUUUUUGGUGAAGAAGGCCAAGGAGAAGGUAUAUGACGUGAUUUUUGAAGGAGAAAGGGUAAGGAAUGGGUUUUGGACAAACCCUAGAAUUUUUGGAAUUUAUUUGAUUGAUUUGGUUUAUGUUGAGCUAUUGUUGUUGUUGGAAAAAUUGUGAAAUUAGAGAUUUGAGGAUGGAUAAAUAAGUAGGAUUUUAUUAGCAUAAUUUUCUUAGUGUUGGAAUUUUGUUGUUGAAGAUUUGGUAAUUAUAGUUGUGUAGUUUUGGCCAAAGGAAAAAGAAAAGGAAGAAGAAAAGAAAUGGAUUUGUUCUUGGAAGAAAAGGGAAAAUAAAGAAAAUGGUAAAAGUUGGAUUAAUUGAGUUUUUACCAUGGUAAAGUGGUAAAAAGUGAAGAAGGUGAAAGUAAAGGUAAAUUCAGUAAAAAGGAGGUAAAAGGUAAAAGUGAAAGUGUGGAGGUAAAAGU